rnacentral:rRNA from 1 species
UACGUAGGGUGCAAGCGUUGUCCGGAAUUACUGGGCGUAAAGCGUGCGCAGGCGGUUUUGUAAGUCUGACGUGAAAGCCCCGGGCUCAACCUGGGAAUUGCGUUGGAGACUGCAAGGCUUGAAUCUGGCAGAGGGGGGUAGAAUUCCACGUGUAGCAGUGAAAUGCGUAGAGAUGUGGAGGAACACCGAUGGCGAAGGCAGCCCCCUGGGUCAAGAUUGACGCUCAUGCACGAAAGCGUGGGGAGCAAACAGG